rnacentral:rRNA from 1 species
UACGUAGGGCGCAAGCGUUAUCCGGAAUUAUUGGGCGUAAAGAGCUCGUAGGCGGUUUGUCGCGUCUGCCGUGAAAGUCCGGGGCUCAACUCCGGAUCUGCGGUGGGUACGGGCAGACUAGAGUGAUGUAGGGGAGACUGGAAUUCCUGGUGUAGCGGUGAAAUGCGCAGAUAUCGGGAGGAACACCAGUGGCGAAGGCGGCGAUCUGGGAAGAUACUGACGCUGAGGUGCGAAAGCGUGGGGAGCAAACAGG